UAACAGGACACCGAAACAGCCUGCCCUGGCCAUCAUAUCCCUUCUUUUCCGGGUAGGCUAUACUAGGUUAUUAACUUAUCCUGGAAAUGAUAAUAGUAUAUUAAACAAAUCCCAGUACCACACCAAAAGGAGGCAGCAAAUCAGAGCUAAACAUAUCUAUCUGCGUUUUAUUUCCACAUGUAAGAGAGCAACACAAAACAGGUUUAUAAUAUUUGGAUGUUUUAUUUUCUUUAAAUCAAGCAGGUUACAUUUCAUUCGUUUACACAAUCUGAUAUUUGGAGCCAUUUGCAAAUAUGCUCAAAUUACAUGAUUUGUAAUCAAUCAAAAAAUCAUACAAGAAUGAGGUGGUUAAUGAACAAUAUUGGGAUCAACAGUGAUCACCCUACUAAUGUAGGCAUUACGUAUGCAGGCAGAAAAAGAAAUGUUCCCAUUAAGGUCUCAUGUGAAACACCACAGGUCUGAAAUACUCAGGAACACAUGAAAAUGGCACAAAAAUGAAUUUCACUCUCCAACCUUUUGCUAAAGAGACGUUGACAGGCCCACAGAGAGCCUGGAGCUCACGGGACAACAUUCACACACACAUUCUGCUUCAUGAAGAGGUCAGAUUAUCGUCAGACCAUAGACAUUACAUUCAAGGACACUGAACAUUUGGCGAACAAAGGUUCAAAUAUCCUCCAAAGCACUUCAAGCCCUCAAAGAAUGAAACUCAAAACGCAGAUGAGGUAAAAGAAGAAACUUCUUAAUUAAAGUGGAGCGACCCAGGGACAAGUCUGGUUUGGGUUAAAGAUUAUGGAUGGUUAACUUUGUGUAACGUGUUUGGACAAGCAAGUUUAGGUUUUAGGCAAGGGACUACAGGUAUUAGGCAAGCGAGUUUAGCCAAGCGAGUACAGGCAAGCGAGUCAAGCUAAGCAAGUUAGGUUUUAUGCAAGCAAGUUCAGGUAUUAGGCAAGCGAGUUCAGGUAUUAGGCAAGCGAGUUUAGGCAAGCAAGUUCAGGUAUUAGGCAAGCGAGUUUAGGCAAGCGAGUUUAGGCAAGCGAGUUUAGGCAAGCGAGUUUAGGUAUUAGGCAAGCGAGUUUACGCAAGCAAGUUCAGGUAUUGGGCAAGCGAGUUCAGGUAUUAGGCAAGCGAGUUUAGGCAAGCAAGUUCAGGUAUUAGGCAAGCGAGUUUAGCCAAGCAAGUUCAGGUUUUAUGCAAGCGAGUUUAGGCAAGAGAGUCAAGUUACUUUAGGCCUCACUUUAUUUGAGGUUAAAUUGCGGCAUUAGGUUUAGAAAGAAGGUUAAGAUCCAGGCUCAGGUUUGCUUCCAGCCUCGUCCCUCUAGUCACUCCCUAUAAAGAGGGUUCCCAGCUACCGUGUUAAAAUACAACAGCUGGGAUUACAGAUAUGGAGUACAGAAAUAAAUGACAAAGAUUGAUUCAAACAUUCUUCCCCCAAAAUGUGGUGCAACAUAAUGGAGAAAAUAUUUACUUUCUCUCCAUUGAAACCCAGUCAUAUUUUACGAUCUCACGAGGUCCCGCCGCAAGGGGCGGACUUACAAGCUCUAUAGAGUGUGCACUGUGUGUUAAUGUUGGGUGUGGAUUAAUGUGCUGGUGUAGCCAGGGAUCCUCAGGGUUUAUGGGGAGUAGGACACACUGGUGUAGUUCAGUACUCGUUGGGUCUCUGCACCAUGACACCCAGCUGCCGCACAUCUGGUCUCCCUUUAAGUUGCCUGAAGGAGAGGUCAACUUAAUUGAACCUAAGGGGAAUGGGUCACAUGAAAAGGUAAGGAUAAAUCAAAGCUAAACAUAGAAAGGAUGAAAACAAGCAUUGUCCAACAUGGGGUUCGGUGAUAUUUUGAUGUAAAAACAUUUAGGUGUACGAUCCAACCAUCAAAAACAGGCUCUUAUCAUGUUUCCA
ensembl:lncRNA